CCUUAAAAAGGCAACAGGACAAAAUUCCUGAGUUACACUCAGGUGUGCAACCAGUACCAACCUGGGGAAUGAAGUUAAUCCACCUGGUGGAGCAGCCUCAAGUGAGAUAAAGCCUCGCUAUUAAUUUACCAUCCUUAAUGCAUAUGAACAACUCACAGCCGGUCUUACACCCUGGUAACACCGAUCCUUCUGUAGUCUGUACUGAUGUGAUACAGAUGCAACCAUUAGCUUUAAAAAAAGCAAACAGUAAAUUAACUUUUUCAGUUUAGUAAUACCAAACGAUUCUGGUGUUGAGAGAGAUGCCUCUUCACGAGGACGACGGGCAAAUAGCGGGAUUUAGCAAUACCUUCAUCUACACAGCGCGACCCAACGACUUCCAAAAAGCAGCCGGAAAACUUCAGGAGAAACUGAACUUCAAGCGGGAGAACUCUCACCGCAAAACUCUGAAGCCUGGAGCGGCCACCCCCGGGAGGCGCCGAGGACAGCGCGGCGGGCUCCCACCCCGCAGGGGCCGGGAAGGAGCCGAACCCCCGAGCGGGGGCGGCGGGGCCGAAGCAGCCCGGCUCGCCGCCUCUCCCGCCCGAGCAGCGCCCAGGAGCCGCGGUUCGACCGGCGGGAAGCCCACCGCGGGGAGGGAGGCGGCAGGAACCGGCUCUCCCUCACGCCGUGCCCGGGCAGCUCCCCGCGCCCCAGCCCGCCCACCACCACUGACCUUGCCUCCCGUCGGGGAAGAGCGAGCCGCCGGCCGGCGGGGCCCUGCCCAGGCAGGGCGCUUGGACGUGGAGGACCAGGAGCCAGAAGGAGAGGUGUGCCACUCGGCUCAGCAGGACACAUGGCAUGGUGCGGGCGGGGAGCGGGGCGCCGCCGACGCCUAGCCGGGCCGCGGCAUGGCCGGGCGGCGGGACAGCGGCGGAACGGCCUCCGGGCGCCGCUCCCCACCAGGGCUGCGCGGGGCCGUCCCGGUGUCUGGUUUCUGCCGGCGGAGGAAGGAGGGCUAUGUGUGGGGAGGGAGCCGCUCCCGGGAGCUCCCGCCUCGGAGCACGCCGGGGUUAGCGCGCCGGAGGCGAACCGGGCCGGGCCAGCGGGGAGGGGAGGAGAGGAGAGGCCGCCGGCGGGGGCUACAGCCCCCGCACCCCGCCCUCCUCAGCGGCAAAGGUGGGGCGUCAGCCCGGCAGCGCCCGCGGCCGUCCCGCGUACGGAGGGCUCCUCGCCCCGGCCCCGGGCGGCGGCUCCCCGCUGAGGGGACGGAGCCCGCCGAGUCUCGCAGCCCCGCAGCCGCCCAGGCAGAGGUUCCCCCCCGGCUUGUGGUGAAAGCCCUCGAAGCACGCGGGUGUUCAACGCCGCGGCGGCCCGGGAUCGCGGCGGCCUCGCCCCGCCUGAGGCCUGUCCCUGCCUGAAGCGCCCGGAGGGAGCCCGAGUCCCCGCAGGGCCCGGCGGCGGUCUCUGCCCCUCGCCCACCAGCAGCAGCCCGGCUUCCAGGUGCGUGCCGAGUACUUUCUGCCAAGGAUCCCCUCACACAGCCUCUGCUCACGUUGCUGCUGGCCGCCACUUCCUAGUUCCCCAAAGGUGAAUGGAUGGCUGUCACAAUUCAGCUGCCAUAACUGUGAGACCUGUCAACCUCCAACUCCAGAGAAUGAAAAUACAGGAUGGAGUUAGGACUCCAGGGAUUUCUAAAUCAGCUAAUGGAAUGAGAUGAUGCAGAAGAGGAUGAAUUUAUGUAAUACUUUAUAUCCAGCAACACUUGACAAGAGAAGAUUUGUCCAAUGCAAGGUGUUCACUGUGCCUGAUGUGAGACAACUAGUAUUUCGUGCAGGAUUCCAUCUUAGUUUCUUCCUCAGCAGGAAAAGUUCAUUCCCAUUGCCUGUAAUUCUCGCCAAACAUGAGAUCUUUUUCUUUCUGCCCUUUCCUGAGACUACAGACUUUCCCAUUCUGGAUUAACUCUCUCAACCUGUUACCCCUGCCUCUUUUCUUCCCUGUUAUCUCUUUUCCAGACAACAUCCCAUGACAGAAAGAAAAAAAAUCAGGAAAUGAUGAAGAAAUGAAAGCUUUAGGAACUCAAGAGGGUUUGUGGGAAUGUGGGUGUUUUGUUUUGAUUUGAUUUUUUUUUAAUGACCAAAAAUUGUAGAUGCAAAAGUCAUACAGAAUGGAGAAAGAGAAGUGUGGGAAUCUGAUCUGAAACAUCUAUAAUUUCCUGGGCUUUGUGCCAGCGUGCACAUACACAGAAGAAAUGAUUCACUGGCUGUAGUGUCAGAAAAUACCCUGGGGGACAGUAGGGUUCCUGCUUAAGGGAUGCUGUGGCUGUAGCUGACACAGUCACAUAGAGUUGAAAUGUGAAGCGAUGGCACAAGUAGAAAGCACUGCUGUGAGGAUAUACUAAGGCCAGCUCUUUAAAUGAAUAGAAUUUACAACUCUCUGUCUUCUCAGUACAGACCUGAUUUAGGAAAGCAUUUGUGGUCUAUUAAAAUAAGAUGCCUAUAUGUUAAACCAUUUGGUGACUCACAGAGAACUGUAAAAAUCUAAUGAUAAGGAACUAAUUAAUGUUUUGUGUUCCAAAAGAGACAUAACCUGAGGUUUUGGAGACUUUUGUGAAUGUAAGGGCAUUUUUUUUAUGAUGUCAGUUAUAAAAAGAAAAUUAAUACAAUUCCACAUCAGUUGUGUUCUUGUGACAGCAAAGGUAUUGCAGUUCAGUAACUGCAGCUGAACACAGAAAAGCCUGUAGAGUUAUUGAAAGGAAGACAGAAGAAACAGUCUACGUGAUCAAAAGACACAGUCAAGCCUGAACUGCCAAUCCAGGCACAAUCAAUAUCUGAGCUAUUCUAAAUUUAAGUAGAUCUCCAGGCCAGAAGUAACAAAAAAAAAAAAAAGUGUAGAUAGGAAUUUAUAGGCUUGUGGAAAUGUGCACAGAGAGACAGAAAUGCAAAAGUUAUGAGCAGUGAGGAACUGCAACAUAAAUUAUAUGAUGUGAUGUUGAGGAGUUGCUACAAAAUGAAGCCCAGCUGAAGACAGUCAGGAAAUCUUGCUUCACAGGGAAUGAGAUUCCCCUGCCCAAAGUUUAAAGACCUAAAAGGCAUUUAAUCCAUGCUUGUUUGUCUUCUCCUCCAGUCAGUAGGGAGAGAAGACAUCUCUGGAGGACAGCACAUACCUCUCUGUCAUACACAAAGUUGUGCUGGUUUUGGCUCCGGUAGAGUUAAUUUUCUCCAUAGUAGCCCGUAUGGGGUGGUGUUUUGGAUUUGUGCUGGAAACAGUGUGGAUAGUACAGGGAUGUUUUAUUUAUAGCUGAGCAGGGCUUACAUAGAGUCAAGGCCUUUUCUGCCUCUCACCCCACCCCACCAGAAGUGGGCUGGGGGUGCACAAGGAGCUGGGAGGGGGCACAGCCGGGACAGCUGACCCCAGCUGACCAAAGCAAUGUUCCAUACCAUAUGGCAUCAAGCUCAGCAUAUAGAGCUGGGGGAAGAAGAAGGAAGGGGGGCAUGUUUGGAGUGAUGGUGUUUGUCUUCCCAAGUACAUGUGAUGGAGCCCUGCUUUCCUGGAGAUGGCUGAAUACCUGCCUGCCCAUGGGAAGGAGUGAAUGAAUUCCUUGUGUUGCUUUGCUUGUGCACGUGCAGCUUUUGCUUUACCCAUUAAACUGUCUUUAUUUCAA